CGGAUAAGGCACCUGAGGCACCAGUUUCAAACAGGAUAAAGAACAUCAUUCAUCGCUCUAAACUUUCCGUUUUUCCGAGGCUUUCGAACGGGCACCGUUCUCCUGCGGGACAGGCGGCACAUCCUGGGAAUUAAACCCAUCCAGCGUUUUCGGUGCUGAAUACCAUUCCAGGUGUUCCAUGCUGAUUAUUACCUGCACAUCUGCUCCCACAAAGUUUACCGAACUGUGUUCGGGGUCCUGUCCACCUCACCACUGCUGCCAGUCUUGGACCACCCCGACUUUCCAGCUCUAUUGUCUAUCGUCUCUACUGGACUCCAUACGUGCCUAACUCACGACCUCCUGAAAGAGAUCAAGGAAGCCACGGUCUGGUGGGAUAAAGUCUUUAUUCUGCCAAGUCUGUAGACUUGGACAAGAAAGUUAUAUGUUGUGUGCCUCAAAUUUUUCAUCUCUGAACGUUAGUACUUGUUCUGUGAAUGAUGUUAUAAGUGAGCUCAUCAUCAUAAUUCUCCUCUGCAUUGUUUCUGAUAAAGGCCUUUCUUCCCUGGUUGUGUAUUACUUGGUUUCAUGGUUUCACGAUGACGAAUAUGCUGCAACCAUCAUUAUCGUACACACACCUCUGACCACUCGUGCAGGUGUUUCCAUAGCUUAGAGAACUGGAAGUGCAAGUGCUACCUUUAGUGUUUCUAUGCUUCUAAUGUUGGUAAAUGCUUCAAAUUUUCCUUCCACAGAAGUGGGACUGAAUCAUAUUCCAGUUUAUUUUCCAGACUUUCAAUGUCCCUUUCUUCAUUUACUUGCCAACACAGCAAUCUUUGUAUACAUCUCUGUAUGAUAGUCUAACUAAUAAAGGGAGCAGUGCCCUCCCGACAUAACUAAGGGGAAGGACAACAGAGGGACAUUGUGGGCAUUACACAGAGAUAUUCUAUUGCAUACGUUCGAAAGCUCAACAUUCAAUAUUUUUAAAAUUCUCCAAGAACUGUAAUUGUUUUCUCUGCUGACCUAGCCAACAGGGUCCAGAGAAGACUGCCCAGAAUGACCUCUUUGAUAACGUCCUGCCAAGCAACUUAUCCAAAGAGAAGAAUCUCGCUGAUCCCAGAGGUUUUUUCCUUCUCCCGUUUUCUCUUUUAUUUAUAAAUUUUGCUUAUAAUUUUAAUUUGAUGAAAACAAUCUAAUGCCUGUCCUUCCUCGUAUAAAAAGGGGAAUUAGCAUGGGAAUAAGUGUUUCUAUGUUAUUCCUUGUCAGUUUUUUGUUUGUUUGUUUGUUUCUGUGUUUUUUGGCUGUGACUAUAAAACUUAGCCCAUCUAAGACACAUCGUGGGAGCCAACAGAAUCCUGCCCCCCCCACAGGUUCCUGCUUCAGACCUGGACCCUUAGAGUUAUUAGCUCAUGUUUGCUCCGUUCUGUUAAAUCUCAUAUGCAGAAAUUGAGCAUUUUGGCUUUUUCAUACUGUGUGGUUACUGGACAAGUAUUUUCUCUCUCUCCGUCUCAUUUGUGCAUCACUAAUUUCUCCUCUCAGUGCGGGAUUCUGGUUUUAAUUCUAGGAAGUGAACGUCUGGGGAUAAUCCCUGUUGGGUGGUGGUAUACAGGGAUCUAUUCGCUGUUAGGUAGAAGAUGACAGCUAAUCUGGACCAUGAGUCUUUUUUGUCUGAUGCUUGUCCUGAGGAUUCUGGUAUUUCCUGGUAUGUGACACCGCAGCAGUGAGAAGCUGUCCACCUCUUGUCUUUCCACUAUUUGGUAAAAACCGCGUGGGCCAAGGCAAUCCUUGUCAAUAACUGCAAAAGUAUAGUAGCUACAAUAAGGAUGAUCUUAAUAU